UCAAGCGACUAAGUGUAUGUGGUGGAUGCCUUGGCGAUCACAGGCGAUGAAGGACGCGGCAGCCUGCGAAAAGCCGUGGGGAGUUGGCAAGCAAACAUUGAUCCACGGAUGUCCGAAUGAGGGAACUCACUCGAGCAAUCGAGUAUCCGCAUCUGAAUACAUAGGAUGCGGAGGCGAACGCGGAGAACUGAAACAUCUAAGUACCCGCAGGAAAAGAAAUCAACCGAGAUUCUGAAAGUAGCGGCGAGCGAAAUUGGAAGAGCCUGCAGUCGAUAGUCGAAGCGAUACCGGAACGGUCUGGAAAGUCCGGCUACAGAGGGUGAUAGCCCCGUACGGGAAAUUGAGUCGACAGUACUAAGGCUGCGAGAAGUAGGGCGGAACACGUGGAAUUCUGUCUGAAGACGGGGGGACCAUCCUCCAAGGCUAAAUACUAGUGAUCGACCGAUAGUGAACCAGUACUGUGAAGGAAAGGCGAAAAGAACCCCGGGAGGGGAGUGAAAUAGAUCCUGAAACCGCAUACAUACAAACAGUAGGAGCCCGCAGUAGGGUGACUGCGUACCUUUUGCAUAAUGGGUCAGCGACUUACGUUCAAUGGCGAGCUUAACCGAAUAGGGGAGGCGCAGCGAAAGCGAGUCCGAACAGGGCGACAGGAGUCGUUGGGCGUAGACCCGAAACCAGAUGAUCUAUCCAUGGUCAGGUUGAAGGUGUGGUAACACACACUGGAGGACCGAACCGACUAGUGUUGCAAAAUUAGCGGAUGAGCUGUGGAUAGGGGUGAAAGGCUUAACAAAUCUGGAGAUAGCUGGUUCUCCCCGAAAACUAUUGAGGUAGUGCCUCGUGUAUUGCUCCAGGGGGUAGAGCACUGUUAUGGCUAGGGGGACAUGGCGUCUUACCAAACCAUGGCAAACUCCGAAUACUUGGAAGUAAGAGCACGGGAGACAGAGCACCGGGUGCUAACGUCCGGACUCAAAAGGGAAACAACCCAGACCGCCGGCUAAGGUCCCAAAUAUCGGCUAAGUGGAAAACGAAGUGGAAAGGCUAAGACAGUCAGGAAGUUGGCUUAGAAGCAGCCAUCCUUCAAAGAAAGCGUAAUAGCUCACUGAUCGAGUCUUUCUGCGCGGAAGAUGUAACGGGGCUAAGUCGAUAACCGAAGCCGCGGAUUCGCAGCAAUGCGAGUGGUAGGGGAGCGUUCCGUAAGCCUGCGAAGGCGGACCCGCGAGGGCCGCUGGAGGUAUCGGAAGUGCGAAUGCUGACAUGAGUAACGUUAAAGCGGGUGAAAAGCCCGCUCGCCGUAAGCCCAAGGUUUCCUGCUCUACGUUCAUCGGAGCAGGGUGAGUCGGCCCCUAAGGCGAGGCUGAGAAGCGUAGCCGAUGGGAAGCAGGUUAAUAUUCCUGCACCGCCGCCAAGUGCGAAGGGGGGACGGAGCAUUGAAGGUCAUCCGGGUGUUGGAAAUCCCGGUUUACGAGCGUAGGAGGUCGACAGGCAAAUCCGUCGGCGAAUCUCCGAGGCGAAGGAUCGAGAGCCGUAUGGCUUGAAGUGACCGGAUGUGCUUCCAGGAAAAGCCUCUAAGCAUCAGCUUGGCGGGACCGUACCGCAAACCGACACUGGUGGGCGAGCUGAAUAUGCUCAGGCGCUUGAGAGAACUCAGGAGAAGGAACUCGGCAAAUUGACACCGUAACUUCGGGAUAAGGUGUGCCUUUGUAGCGUGAAGGGAGAAACACCCGGAGCGUGAAGAGGUCUCAGAGAAUCGGUGGCUGCGACUGUUUACUAAAAACACAGCACUCUGCAAAGAUGAAAGUCGACGUAUAGGGUGUGAUGCCUGCCCGGUGCUGGAAGAUUAAUUGAUGGGGUGCAAGCCCUUGAUCGAAGUCCCAGUAAACGGCGGCCGUAACUAUAACGGUCCUAAGGUAGCGAAAUUCCUUGUCGGGCAAGUUCCGACCUGCACGAAUGGCAUAACGAUGGCCACACUGUCUCCUCCUGAGACUCAGUGAAGUUGAAGUGUUUGUGAUGAUGCAAUCUCCCCGCGGCUAGACGGAAAGACCCCAUGAACCUUUACUGCAGCUUUGCAUUGGACUUUGAACCGAUCUGUGUAGGAUAGGCGGGAGGCAGAGAAACCGGGACGCCAGUACCGGUGGAGCCAUCCUUGAAAUACCGCCCUGAUUUGUUUGAGGUUCUAACCUAGGCCCGUGAACCGGGUCGGGGACCGUGCAUGGUAGGCAGUUUGACUGGGGCGGUCU
rnacentral:rRNA from 1 species